rnacentral:rRNA from 1 species
GAGUUUGAUCCUGGCUCAGGAUGAACGCUAGCUACAGGCUUAACACAUGCAAGUCGAGGGGCAGCGGGAAGUCAGCUUGCUGACUUUGCCGGCGACCGGCGCACGGGUGAGUAGCGCGUAUCCAACCUUCCGUUUGCUCAGGGAUAGCCUUUCGAAAGAAAGAUUAAUACCUGAUAGUAUGGUAAGAUUGCAUGAUAAUACCAUUAAAGAUUCAUUGGUAAACGAUGGGGAUGCGUUCCAUUAGGUAGUAGGCGGGGUAACGGCCCACCUAGCCAACGAUGGAUAGGGGUUCUGAGAGGAAGGUCCCCCACAUUGGAACUGAGACACGGUCCAAACUCCUACGGGAGGCAGCAGUGAGGAAUAUUGGUCAAUGGGCGAGAGCCUGAACCAGCCAAGUAGCGUGAAGGAUGAAGGUUCUAUGGAUUGCAAACUUCUUUUAUAAGGGAAUAAAGUGCUUUACGUGUAGAGUUUUGUAUGUACCUUAUGAAUAAGCAUCGGCUAACUCCGUGCCAGCAGCCGCGGUAAUACGGAGGAUGCGAGCGUUAUCCGGAUUUAUUGGGUUUAAAGGGAGCGUANACGGGAUGUUAAGUCAGCUGUGAAAGUUUGGGGCUCAACCUUAAAAUUGCAGUUGAAACUGGCGUUCUUGAGUGCGGUAGAGGCAGGCGGAAUUCGUGGUGUAGCGGUGAAAUGCUUAGAUAUCACGAAGAACUCCAAUUGCGAAGGCAGCUUGCUGGAGCGUAACUGACGUUGAUGCUCGAAAGUGUGGGUAUCANACAGGAUUAGAUACCCUGGUAGUCCACACGGUAAACGAUGGAUACUCGCUGUUGGCGAUAUACUGUCAGCGGCCAAGCGAAAGCAUUAAGUAUCCCACCUGGGGAGUACGCCGGCAACGGUGAAACUCAAAGGAAUUGACGGGGGCCCGCACAAGCGGAGGAACAUGUGGUUUAAUUCGAUGAUACGCGAGGAACCUUACCCGGGCUUAAAUUAUGCAUGAAUGAUCUGGAGACAGAUCAGCCGCAAGGCAUGUAUGAAGGUGCUGCAUGGUUGUCGUCAGCUCGUGCCGUGAGGUGUCGGCUUAAGUGCCAUAACGAGCGCAACCCUUUCUGCCAAUUACUAACAGGCAAUGCUGAGGACUCUGGCGGUACUGCCAUCGUAAGAUGUGAGGAAGGUGGGGAUGACGUCAAAUCAGCACGGCCCUUACGUCCGGGGCUACACACGUGUUACAAUGGGGGGUACAGAAGGCCGCUUACCGGCGACGGUUGGCCAAUCCCGAAAGCCCCUCUCAGUUCGGACUGGAGUCUGCAACCCGACUCCACGAAGCUGGAUUCGCUAGUAAUCGCGCAUCAGCCACGGCGCGGUGAAUACGUUCCCGGGCCUUGUACACACCGCCCGUC